rnacentral:lncRNA from 1 species
ACAAUCCAAUCUGCUAAUCUCCGAUACCGCUUUGUACUUACGAUCUUGUAUCCAUUGACUGUCUUGUUAGAUUAAUCCAAUAAAUUUCAUUCACUCCACAUACUCAAUCCUAUAGACACCCUUUUAAUCCUUCAAUCACAGACGUAACUCGAUUUUACAAAACAGUCAGGAGUGAUCACACCCACUUCAUUAAAAAUCCCGAUUCACCAUUACAACACUGACUUCAGCAACGAU